rnacentral:misc_RNA from 1 species
GAAAAGUUUAUGUUUUUAUUUAUUGAUCUCUAGUCAUGAAGGCGGGUAUUAGGCGAACCUCGGCCAGCGUAAUUCUUGUGGCCCCAAAUGAAGGAACAAGCAAAGACUAUAAAUUGCUGAUGCUGAAACGCAGUGACACCACGGCAGUAGUGCUCAAUCAAACCGUAUUCCCCGGUGGCCUCUUGGAUGAGGCCGAUGAGAGCGUGGCCUGGCUGCAGUACUUUGAGGAGUUCGGUGUCCCCCAAAAGGAACUGCGUCGACUGGUACUCAUUAGCAAUGAUCGACCUGCUAUUCUGGCUCCACAGGGCACCGGUUGUUACGAUCGUUUCUUUAAAAACACAAUAAUUUGGUCGAGAGAGAUUACGUUGCGCCUGAAUGCUAUACGGGAAUGCUUUGAAGAGGUGGGUGUCUUGCUGUGCCGAAGUCAUGAGGAUCUUAAGGACUUUGGUCCGGUGGCCUCCCUUCAGAAUGUGCCCAAUCUAAAAAGCUGGCAACAACGAGUGCACAACAAACCCAGUGAGUUUCUGACCCUGUGUCGGGAGCUAAAGGUUGUGCCCGAUCUGUGGGGUCUGCAUGAGUGGUCUGCUUGGACCAGUCCUGGAUUUAUGCGAAAAGGUCCCAUAGCUAUGAAACCGUCUUCUUCAUGGCUUUUGUGAAUUCGCAACCUAACUUACUGGCGGAGCCCUCUGAAGUUAAAGAGACACUGUGGUCAACCCCGAUUGAGUUUCUACGAAUGACUAAACUUGGAGAAAUUUGGCUUCUUCCUCCUCAAAUUUAUGAGUUAUCCCGACUAAUGGG